rnacentral:SRP_RNA from 1 species
GCCGGACACGGUGGCACGUGCCUGUAGUCCCAGCUACUCCGGAGGCUGAGGUGGGAGGAUCGCUUGGGCCCAGGAGUUCUGGACUGUAGUACGCUAUGCCCAUCGGGUGUCCACACUAAGUUCGGCAUUAAUAUGGUGACCUCCCAGGAGCGGGGGACCACCAGGUUGCCUAAGGAGGGGUGAACCGGCCCAGGUCGGAAAUGGAGCAGGUCAAAACUCCCAUGCUGAUCAGUAGUGGGAUGCACCUGUGAAUAGCCAUUGCACUCCAGCCUGGGCAACAUAGCGAGAUCCCAUUUCU